rnacentral:rRNA from 1 species
UACGUAGGGGGCAAGCGUUGUUCGGAUUUACUGGGCGUAAAGGGCCAGUAGGCGGCCAACUAAGUCGGAUGUGAAAUCCCCAGGCUAAACCUGGGAACUGCAUCCGAUACUGGAUGGCUUGAAUUCGGGAGAGGGAUGCAGAAUUCCAGGUGUAGCGGUGAAAUGCGUAGAUAUCUGGAGGAAUACCGGUGGCGAAGGCGGCAUCCUGGACCGACAUUGACGCUGAAAGGCGAAAGCUAGGGGAGCAAACGGG